rnacentral:lncRNA from 1 species
CUUAAGUGAUUAACAAUUAAGAAUCACUUAUGUCCACUAGUAAUCAUCACUCUUUUACAGAACCUGUAAUGGGUUCGAAUGUCGAGUUGUCUCAAUUUGAUGGAAAUGGGGAUUACUCGAUAUGAAAGCAAAAAAUGAGGGCUAUAUUAGUCCAACAAAAGGUCACUAAGGCCCUGGAUAAUCCUGCAACAUUCUCUGAUGAAUUAAAGGCUAAACCUGAUGAAAUUCAAGAAAUGAAUGACAUUGCUUACUGUUCAAUUAUCUUGCAUUUAUCUGACAAUAUUGUGAGACAAGUUGAAGAAUCUAAAACACCUAGAGCCUUGUGGACUGCACUUGAUGCAUUGUUCUUGACCAAGACACUACCUAAUAAAAUCUAUUUGCUAGAAAAACUAUUUAGUUUCAAGAUGGACACUAGAAAAGACCUUGAAGCAAACUUGAGUGAUUUUAGCAUUCUGGUAAAGAGUCUUGCACACAAUGAAAAAAAAUUUGAUGAUGAAGACCUUGCAAUUAUAUUACUUAACUCAUUACCUGAAUUUUAUAGAGAUAUAAGGAAUGCCAUAAAAUACUCAAGGGAUGACUUAACUCAGUCUAUGGUAACAAAUGCUUUGAGAGCUAGAGAACUAGAGGUUAAGAAAGGAUCUAAAUCUCACACGAGAGAGGAAAGCAUGUUUGUGAGAGAGAGAUCUGAAAAGAAAGAAAACCAUAACCAGAAUAGAAAAUUCAGAUCUAAAUCUAGAGGUAGAUCCAAAUCUAGGGAUAAAAGUAAUAAAAAGUGCUAUCACUGUGGAAAACUUGGACACUUUAAAAGAGAUUGUUUUGAAUUCAAGAAGAAACAAAAGGAUCAAAGUACUGUUGACUUGAAUAAUGCAGCUGUUACUGAUGACUUAGAUAGUCUUCUUGUAAUGACUGUGUCUAAUGAUGAUAGUGAUAAGGAUUGGAUCUUGGACUCUGGAUGCACAUUUCACAUGAGCCCUAACAGAUCUUGGUUUUAUAACUACAAACCAAUUGAACCUAGGAAAGUGUACAUGGGAGAUAACAACUCAUAAACUGCACAGGAUUUUGGUGACAUUGCUAUUAAAAUGCAUGAUGGCAUUGCGAGACAAAUUAAAAAUGUUAGGCAUGUCCCAAACUUAAAGAGAAACCUUAUCUCAUUAGGGGUCCUUGAAGAUGAAGGGUAUACAUUUAAGUCUGAUAAUAAUACAUUAAAGGUGAUGAAGGGAUCACUUGUUGUGUUGAAGGGACCCAAGAGGAAUGGUCUAUAUUAUCUUGCUGGAGAAACUGUGACUAACCAAGAUAAUAGUUCUUUAGCUGUGACUGAAAGUAAGUCUGAACUUUGGCAUAAUAGAAUGGGUCAUAUUGGUAACAAGGGCUUGAAAUAUUUAAGUAACCAAAAAUUACUUGGGAAGGAUAUAAUAAAACCUCUACAAUUUUGUGAGGCUUAUGUAGUAGGCAAAUCCCAUAAGGUGAGUUUCAAUGUAGGAUCUCACACCACAAAUAGACCUUUGGAUUAUGUACACUCUGACCUUUGGGGACCUGAAAGUCAUCCCACUUUUGGGUGGAAUAGAUAUUUCUUGUCUAUAAUUGAUGACUAUUCCAGGAAAGUUUGGGUUUACCCUUUAAAGGCUAAAUCUGAAACUUUCCAGAAAUUCAGAACCUGGCUUAAAAUGACAGAAAAUGAGUUGAACAGGAAACUGAAAACAUUAAGGACUGACAAUGGA